UUUUUGAUAAAAGUUAAAACUAGUCGACAUGAAAAUGUGUGUUGUGUAUCCACCACUAUUUGCAACAAAAUUGCACUUAUUUUUAUACGUCUAAAUUGACCCUUUUUCUGAUGAAAGUUGAAACUAGUUGAAACGAAGACGUAUGUUGUGUAUCCACAUGUUUAUUUACUUUUAAAACUUGCACUUGUUCAACCUGUUGCCAACUGUGGAACAAAUUUUCUCAGCAAAGAACUUCAACACAAUUGUGAAACUGCAUAUGUGAUCAAUUGAUGAAUGACUAUUUAGUUAUUUAUAUAAAGAGGGUUGUAUUUGAUAACAUUAGUAUUGUUGUAAUUAUUAAUAUUUUUUAGGAUAUUAGAUCUUGUCGAGUUUGAUUGUAAGAUGUUAAUAUUGUAUUUUUAUUAAUAUUUUAUUAUUUAUUUUUUGCAUGUUGAUUCCACUUUUUUCCUGGAUCCACCACUGUUUGGAGGAGGAGCACGGAUAUUUCUGUUUCUUUUUCAUUAAAUAAAAAUAAGAGGAAUAAAUGACAUAAUAUAAUUUAAUUAACUUUAUGGUUUUAUGUGAUAUUAUACCAAUGUCUGGGAUUGACUGGGAAAACCAAAAAAAGAAGAGCACAUACAAAUUUCCUGUUAUUUCAUGGCUCCUAGAACAAACUUUCUCAGCAAUGAACCUUUUCAACGGAAAAUUGUGCAGACGCAUAUGUGAUCGAUUGAUAAAUAACUGUUUGGUUAUUUUAAUAAAGAGAGAUAUGUUUGAUAGCAUUAAUAAUGGUGUAAUUCUUAAUAAUUUUCAGGAUAUUAGAUCUCGUCGAAUCUUAUUGUCAAAUAUUAAUAUUAUAUAUUUUUUUAUAUUUUUAGUA
rnacentral:misc_RNA from 1 species